rnacentral:misc_RNA from 1 species
CAGCAAACGGAGUACCAGCCCUUAAGGGCCACACAUGGCCUCUUCCACCUUCAACACUCUGCAGCAAAAACACCUCCUCUCUACCACUUUCUGUAAGUAUCCAUCAUCUCUAAAUACUCUGAGUUUCCACUGUUUAUUUCAUUUUCUUACUAUCUCUCCUUUCGAGCACAAACCAUUUUUUGUGCGUAGACCACAUGGUAGCAACAUACGAAGAAAAUUAUCCACUACAAACCAUGAAAGUCCCACGAAUUUAAGAAUUAGAAAAUCUUCAACUACUGGAGGUGAAAGGGUUGGGAGACAAUCUGUGAAUAACCUUGUUAAAUCCGUAGUAGAGGAAAGUAUUGAAAAGAGGUUUGCGAAGAAUAAAAAUGCAAGAAAGGACCUGGGUUUUAGAAAAAGGAAGGAUUUUGGCUCGGGGGAUUUGUCUACAAGGUUUAAAGAUGGAAAUAAAAAGAUACCAGCUUUGGAAAUUAUGGACAUUCUGGCAUUUAAUGGUAAAAGACUGAAGAAAAAAACAAAAAAUGGUUGUGAUAAUCAGGUGAAAGAGAAGAAAAUGGCAAAAGGGUCCAAAAGAAACAAACUUGAUUCAGCAGAAGUAAAAUUCCGACUGGGGUUGGAUACGUGCUCCAAGAGAGGGGAUGCAAUGGGUGCAAUUCGAUUGUAUGAUUUAGCUCUGAGAGAAGGAAUCAAGAUGGGGCAGUACCAUUAUGCUGUACUUUUGUAUCUUUGUUCCUCUGCUGCAGUAGGUGUUGUUCAACCUGCAAAAAGUGGGAGUAGGAGUCGAGCUCUGAAUUCAUUAGAGGUGUCUAAUGAAGUUACUGAUGUAAGGGUGGUGGAUUUGAGUGAAUUAAGAGAUAAGAACGAUAGGAAUGCAGUUACUGAAUUACACACUCGAGUUUCCAACAAUGGUGAUGGAAAUCCUGGAAGUUCAGAAAAAAUGGAGUUAAAUUCUAGUAGUGGGUUUAAUGAUUUAGAUAACAAUUUCAAUGAGGAGAACUUAAAUCUAAUUUCUAAUGUUAUUAGUAAGCCAAACUGUCAAUAUUUGGACGGAGUAAAUUUUUGUAGAAAGGGUAAAAAUGGUGAUAAUCGUGAUGAUCAUGAAAUUCAGGUAAAUGAAGAUAUCAAGAAGUAUGCACUCAGGAGGGGAUUUGAGAUCUAUGAUAAGAUGUGUAUGGAUAAGGUCCCAAUGAAUGAAGCAACCCUGACAGCAGUGGCUAGAAUGGCAAUGUCAAUGGGUAAUGGUGACAUGGCAUUUGAUAUGGUGAAGCAAAUGAAGCCACUGGGAUUAAAUCCUAGAUUGAGGUCCUAUGGUCCUGCUCUAUCUACUUUUUGCAAUAAUGGAGAUGUCAAUAAAGCAUUUGCUGUAGAAAAACACAUGUUGGAGCAUGGUGUCCAUCCAGAAGAGCCUGAACUGGAGGCACUCUUGAGAGUAAGUGUUGAAGCUGGUAAAGGUGAUAAAGUUUAUUAUUUGUUGCAUAAAUUGAGAACUAGUGUGAGAAAGGUCUCACCCUCUACUGCAGAUAUAAUUGUUAGAUGGUUUAAGAGCAAGGCAGCUUCAAGGGUAGGGAAAACAAAAUGGGAUAAGAGAGUUAUUAAAGAGGCAAUUGAAAAUGGGGGUGGAGGAUGGCAUGGGCAGGGCUGGCUGGGUAAAGGAAAGUGGAGCGUUUCAAUUACAUCUAUUGGACCUGAUGCAUUUUGUAGAUCUUGUGGGGAGAAAUUGGCCACCAUUGACCUUGAUCCUACAGAGACACAGAAUUUUGCUGAAUCUGUUGCUUCCAUUGCCAUAAAGAGAGAUAAAGAUUCAAGCUUUCAAAGGUUUCAAAAAUGGCUCAACUAUUAUGGACCUUUUGAAGCAGUGAUAGAUGGAGCAAAUGUUGGUCUUUUGAGCGAGAAGAGAUUCAUUCCAUCCAAGAUCAAUGCUAUUGCUAAUGGAAUACGCCAGAAGCUUCCUUCAAAAAGAUGGCCACUUAUUGUUCUGCACAACAAGCGUGUCACUGGACCCAAUAUGAAUGAAGCAGCAAAUAAGGCAUUAACCGAAAAAUGGAAAAAUGCUGAUGCACUAUAUGCAACGCCAACUGGGUCAAAUGAUGAUUGGUGAGAAUUAAAUGCACACAGAAUAUGUUUACCUGGGUGAACUUAAUUGCAUAUUUUCCUUAACUUUCUACUUUUUUGGCUAAUUUUCAAUCAGUUAUUGAAUUGAUAAAAUAUCAUAUGAAGUGCCAUAUAGAUAAUAACCUGUGCUUCAGGUACUGGUUGUAUGCAGCCAUAAAGUUCAAGUGCUUAAUUGUGACUAAUGAUGAGAUGCGAGAUCAUACAUUUCAACUUCUAGGAAAUGACUUCUUCCCUAAAUGGAAAGAAAGGCACCAAGUGAGUAGCACUCUUGAUGAGUCAAAGCCUAUAAGUACCCUUUUCAGUUGUAAAUAUUGACCUUGGAUAAUCUAUAUUUUUGCUUCAAAAUCUGGCUGAUAUAAGCAGUUCAAAUCAGUGCUGCUUUAUUAGAGCCAGUAAUGAUUAAUUGUAUCUUAAUAAAUGUCAUAUCUUUUUCUUGAUGACAGGUGCAUUUCAGUUUUUCUGAUGUUGGCCCAGUUUUUCACAUGCCUCCUUGUUUCUCUGCUGUAAUUCAGGAAUCAGAGAAAGGCAACUGGCAUAUUCCAAUUGCAACAGACCAUGAUUAUGAUCCAGAAAGAACAUGGUUAUGCAUUACUCGUGCUAACUCAUCUGUGGCUAGGCAUGAUUCUAUCACCACCAGAACUGAAGGUAAUUUCAAUCAAUUGAUGAUUUUUUUUAUCCAAAUGAGGGCUGGCAACAUGAAACUUUGACCCACAAAUGACUACAGUUUUCUAUUUGCUGACUGCUGAGUCUUUGAAAAGAAUAUGCAUCAUAAGUUUAAAGGAAACAUACGAUAACAGCCAUUGCAGUUAUAAAAGUUGACAAUACAUCUGUGGAGAGAGAAAUUCUAUUAAGUUACUUGCACAAUCACAAAAUUUUACCAUUUCUCUUGCAGUGUCUUAGAGGAAAUUAAAUUAGAGGCUUCAUUGAUUAUAUUAUUAUUUUGUUUUGCACUUGCUUGCCAUUUCCUUUUAUUUAAUAUGGGUUAUUAAAAUCAUUUAAAAUUGUGGGCAUGGUGGAUAUUUUUUUGAGUUUAUUUUUGCUGCAGAUAAUCACUCUGGAAUGAAGCAUUGACAUGUGGGUAUCCUCAUAUGUGAACAAGCCAAUUAUGUUUAUUUUUAUGUCACUUUGUAUCUUAUCCUCUAUGCUUAAUGUUUUCCAAAGAAACAAUCAACUACACUUCUUUAGGUUUUUCUUAAAUUUUAAUUCUUUUACGACAAUUCUGCAUGAUCACAUUACAUUCAUAUUGCUUAUUAAAGCACCCACUGACAACAGUUUACUUGCUUAAAAUAGAUUCGCAAUCUGUGAAUCAUAGCAAUGAGCAAGCUAUGUUGACCAAGCAAAAUAGGGUUAAGGAAAAGCAAGAGCAUACAUUGAGUCACUGCAGCCUAGAAGAUUUGCAGAAUUCACCUCAGGAAGUCUACAAGAAUCUCAGGAAUGUGCUUUUGGCAUCUGGCUUCACAGAUCAUCACACAAUCCUAUCGGAUAUUGAGGCAGCGGAGAAGCUCAGUGGCCGUGUAAUUGACUUUCAGAUAUGAUGUUGAAGGUCUCUUAUCCAGGACUUCGAAUGACACACCUGAAAAGCAAACUUGGAAAGGGAAUAUCCACGUACAAUUGUGAGGCACAUGUUAUUGGCCGCACUCUGGAAAAUUGUUCUUCUUCAGGGUGCUCUUGGGUUAGCUAAAUCUCACCGUUAAACGGUUGAUAUUUGAGUUAAUUUCUUGAGUCACCCUUUGGAAUUUCCCUAGCUGCAACCUACAAUUCAUUUGUAUGUACGUUCAUUUAAAAUGUAUUCUGGGCUGCCAGCUGGCAAUCAUAUGGGCGAGGGCAUGCCUAAGAUGCUGAUUGCCUCAUUGAACAUUACAUGUUUCCAAAUUAUGUUGUUUCUGAAAGUAAUUCUUUGAAUCAAGCUUAUGCGUUUGAUGAUUCUUGGAAAACU